rnacentral:rRNA from 1 species
GGACGAACGCUGGCGGCGUGCUUACCCCAUGCAAGUCGAACGGAAAGGCCCUGCUUUUGUGGGGUGCUCGAGUGGCGAACGGGUGAGUAACACGUGAGUAACCUGCCCUUGACUUUGGGAUAACUUCAGGAAACUGGGGCUAAUACCGGAUAGGAGCUCCUGCUGCAUGGUGGGGGUUGGAAAGUUUCGGCGGUUGGGGAUGGACUCGCGGCUUAUCAGCUUGUUGGUGGGGUAGUGGCUUACCAAGGCUUUGACGGGUAGCCGGCCUGAGAGGGUGACCGGCCACAUUGGGACUGAGAUACGGCCCAGACUCUUACGGGAGGCAGCAGUGGGGAAUAUUGCACAAUGGGCGGAAGCCUGAUGCAGCAACGCCGCGUGCGGGAUGACGGCCUUCGGGUUGUAAACCGCUUUCGCCUGUGACGAAGCGUGAGUGACGGUAAUGGGUAAAGAAGCACCGGCUAACUACGUG